UACGAAGGGGGCUAGCGUUGCUCGGAAUUACUGGGCGUAAAGCGCACGUAGGCGGAUUGUUAAGUCGGUGGUGAAAUCCUGGAGCUCAACUCCAGAACUGCCUUCGAUACUGAGAGUCUCGAGUCCGGGAGAGGUGAGUGGAACUGCGAGUGUAGAGGUGAAAUUCGUAGAUAUUCGCAAGAACACCAGUGGCGAAGGCGGCUCACUGGCCCGGUACUGACGCUGAGGUGCGAAAGCGUGGGGAGCAAACAGG
rnacentral:rRNA from 1 species